rnacentral:rRNA from 1 species
UACAGAGGUCUCAAGCGUUGUUCGGAUUCAUUGGGCGUAAAGGGUGCGUAGGCGGCGCGGUAAGUCGGGUGUGAAAUCUCGGAGCUUAACUCCGAAACUGCAUUCGAUACUGCCGUGCUUUAGGACUGGAGAGGAGACUGGAAUUUACGGUGUAGCGGUGAAAUGCGUAGAUAUCGUAAGGAAGACCAGUGGCGAAGGCGGGUCUCUGGACAGUUCCUGACGCUGAGGCACGAAGGUCAGGGGAGCAAACGGG